rnacentral:rRNA from 1 species
AUUGAACGCUGGCGGCAGGCUUAACACAUGCAAGUCGAGCGGAUGAAGGGAGCUUGCUCCUGGAUUCAGCGGCGGACGGGUGAGUAAUGCUUAGGAAUCUGCCUAUUAGUGGGGGACAACAGUUGGAAACGACUGCUAAUACCGCAUACGCCCUACGGGGGAAAGGAGGGGAUCUUCGGACCUUUCGCUAAUAGAUGAGCCUAAGUCAGAUUAGCUAGUUGGUGGGGUAAAGGCCUACCAAGGCGACGAUCUGUAGCGGGUCUGAGAGGAUGAUCCGCCACACUGGGACUGAGACACGGCCCAGACUCCUACGGGAGGCAGCAGUGGGGAAUAUUGGACAAUGGGGGCAACCCUGAUCCAGCCAUGCCGCGUGUGUGAAGAAGGCCUUUUGGUUGUAAAGCACUUUAAGCGAGGAGGAGGCUCUUCUAGUUAAUACCUAGGAUGAGUGGACGUUACUCGCAGAAUAAGCACCGGCUAACUCUGUGCCAGCAGCCGCGGUAAUACAGAGGGUGCGAGCGUUAAUCGGAUUUACUGGGCGUAAAGCGUACGUAGGCGGCUUUUUAAGUCGGAUGUGAAAUCCCUGAGCUUAACUUAGGAAUUGCAUUCGAUACUGGGAAGCUAGAGUAUGGGAGAGGAUGGUAGAAUUCCAGGUGUAGCGGUGAAAUGCGUAGAGAUCUGGAGGAAUACCGAUGGCGAAGGCAGCCAUCUGGCCUAAUACUGACGCUGAGGUACGAAAGCAUGGGGAGCAAACAGGAUUAGAUACCCUGGUAGUCCAUGCCGUAAACGAUGUCUACUAGCCGUUGGGGCCUUUGAGGCUUUAGUGGCGCAGCUAACGCGAUAAGUAGACCGCCUGGGGAGUACGGUCGCAAGACUAAAACUCAAAUGAAUUGACGGGGGCCCGCACAAGCGGUGGAGCAUGUGGUUUAAUUCGAUGCAACGCGAAGAACCUUACCUGGUCUUGACAUAGUAAGAACUUUCCAGAGAUGGAUUGGUGCCUUCGGGAACUUACAUACAGGUGCUGCAUGGCUGUCGUCAGCUCGUGUCGUGAGAUGUUGGGUUAAGUCCCGCAACGAGCGCAACCCUUUUCCUUAUUUGCCAGCGGGUUAAGCCGGGAACUUUAAGGAUACUGCCAGUGACAAACUGGAGGAAGGCGGGGACGACGUCAAGUCAUCAUGGCCCUUACGACCAGGGCUACACACGUGCUACAAUGGUCGGUACAAAGGGUUGCUACUCCGCGAGGAGAUGCUAAUCUCAAAAAGCCGAUCGUAGUCCGGAUCGCAGUCUGCAACUCGACUGCGUGAAGUCGGAAUCGCUAGUAAUCGCGGAUCAGAAUGCCGCGGUGAAUACGUUCCCGGGCCU